GAUGAACGCUGGCGGCGUGCUUAACACAUGCAAGUCGAACGAACACUUUCGGGUGUUAGUGGCGAACGGGUGAGUAACGCGUGAGGAUCUGCCCUUAGGUGGGGGACAACCGUUGGAAACGGCGGCUAAUACCGCAUAUGGCGAGAGCUAAAAGCUUAAAGUGCCUAGGGAUGAACUCGCGUCUGAUUAGCUAGUUGGUGAAGUAAUGGUUUACCAAGGCGACGAUCAGUAGCUGGUCUGAGAGGAUGAUUAGCCACACUGGGACUGAGACACGGCCCAGACUCCUACGGGAGGCAGCAGUGGGGAAUUUUCCGCAAUGGGGGCAACCCUGACGGAGCAACGCCGCGUGGGGGAGGAAUGUCUGUGGAUUGUAAACCCCUUUUCUCAGGGAAGAAGAUCUGACGGUACCUGAGGGAUCAGCAUCGGCUAACUCCGUGCCAGCAGCCGCGGCAAGACGGAGGAUGCAAGCGUUAUCCGGAAUUAUUGGGCGUAAAGCGUCCGUAGGCGGUUUUAUAAGUCUGUCGUUAAAGACUGCAGCUCAACUGUGGGUAAGCGAUGGAAACUGUAGGACUGGAGUACGGUAGGGGUAGAGGGAAUUCCCAGUGUAGCGGUGAAAUGCGUAGAUAUUGGGAAGAACACCAGUGGCGAAGGCGCUCUACUGGGCCGUAACUGACGCUGAGGGACGAAAGCUAGGGGAGCGAAAGGGAUUAGAUACCCCUGUAGUCCUA
rnacentral:rRNA from 1 species